rnacentral:rRNA from 1 species
GACGAACGCUGGCGGCGUGCCUAAUACAUGCAAGUAGAACGCUGAAGGAGGAGCUUGCUUCUCUGGAUGAGUUGCGAACGGGUGAGUAACGCGUAGGUAACCUGCCUGGUAGCGGGGGAUAACUAUUGGAAACGAUAGCUAAUACCGCAUAAGAGUAGAUGUGGCAUGACAUUUGCUUAAAAGGUGCAAUUGCAUCACUACCAGAUGGACCUGCGUUGUAUUAGCUAGUUGGUGAGGUAACGGCUCACCAAGGCGACGAUACAUAGCCGACCUGAGAGGGUGAUCGGCCACACUGGGACUGAGACACGGCCCAGACUCCUACGGGAGGCAGCAGUAGGGAAUCUUCGGCAAUGGACGGAAGUCUGACCGAGCAACGCCGCGUGAGUGAAGAAGGUUUUCGGAUCGUAAAGCUCUGUUGUAAGAGAAGAACGAGUGUGAGAGUGGAAAGUUCACACUGUGACGGUAUCUUACCAGAAAGGGACGGCUAACUACGUG